rnacentral:misc_RNA from 1 species
UUUCCAAGCACCUCCUUGUAUCUUGUAUAUCGACAAGUUGGAUCCACCUCAAGAAUAUCCGGAUCAGGAGGUUCAGAAUGAGCCCCACCAUCCUCACAAUUGUCCAUAUCAAUCAAACUCUGAAACGGGCGAGAAUCCGAGGAACAAUAGAAGAAAAAUUGUGACAGAGAUUAGAUUAAGGGAAAAGAAAAAGGAACGAAAGGAAAACCCUAUCCUAAUUAACCGAUAAUAGAGAGAGAGAGAUCGAACAUGUGUUAUUGUGAUCAAAUUACAAACCAACAACACCUCGUGCUUAAAGCGUUCUUUCUAUCUCUGUCUAUAAAACACCGAAAGCAUGGCGGAUGAUGGAGCUGAUAUAUUUAUACUUAUCUAUAAAAUACACCUAGG